AGGGCCAGCCCCAGUGUCAGUGGGCAGGGAAGGUCUCGGUCCGUGCUCCCUGGCGCUGAGCUUGAGCUCGCAGUCUGUGGAGGUGCUUUGUGGGGAGGGGGCACGAGGAAGGUCGGACCCACGGGAGCCAAUGAGAUCUUCAAGUGAGGCCCUGGAGAGGAAAAAAUAAAGCUGUCCCAGGAUGGAGCUUUGGGAUACGGUCAGUGGGAGAGACGUGGAUGAGAAGCUGGCAGGAGGCUGUGGAGCAGUCAGAAAAGUGGGACGGGAACCGGAAGAGACAAAGGUCACAGGAAUAAACAGGAAGGGAGAGACAAAGGUCACAGGGACAAAUGGGAAGGGAACUGGGAGGGACAAAGGUCACAGGGACAAAUGGAAAGGGAGAGACAAAGGUCACAGGGACAAAUGGGAAGGGAACCGGGAGAGACAAAGGUCACAGGGACAAAUGGGAAGGGAACCGGGAGAGACAAAGGUCACAGGGACAAAUGGGAAGGGAACCGGGAGAGACAAAGGUCACAGGGACAAAUGGGAAGGGAACCGGGAGAGACAAAGGUCACAGGGACAAACGGGAAGGGAACCGGGAGAGACAAAGGUCACAGGGACAAAUGGGAAGGGAGAGACAAAGAUCACAGAGACAAACGGGAAGGGAACCGGGAGAGACAAAGGUCACAGGGACAAAUGGGAAGGGAACUGGGGGAGACCAAGGUCACAGGGACAAACAGGAAGGGAACUGGGAGAGACCAAGGUCACAUGCAUCCAGAGAGGAGAGAAUAUUUAGCAAUGGUGGGUGGUCAUCAGGCGCAGAGAAGCCCACUGAGGAAGGAGGAAGGGUCAUCAGCUUUGCUCGUGAGAUCACUGGUGCAUUUGGAAAGAGCAGUUUCAGCUGGAGGGUGACCAGUUGACCCACACUUAUUAAGCUCUUCUGUACCAGACUCGGGGCUGCCCGCUGGAGAGGGAAAGAAAAAGCCAAAAAUAGUCAGGAACCAGAUUGCAGAAGGUUCAGGAGAGCAGGAGGAAAGGAGAGGUCAGAGAGCCAUUAAACCCUGAUGGUUUUCUGGGAAUUUGGCUGAGAAAAGGUGAGAGAGCUUGAGAAA